UUUCUCACACCUCUCGCUCUCUUUCUCACUCAAGCAGAAGAGAAAAUUAUUUCCCUCAUCUAAUUGCAUCCAUUUUACCGGCAGGCCUUGUGGAAUGAGUUCAAUGACCCACUUAAGACCAAAGAUGAGAUUAUGAAUAAUGUUCCAGAAGGUAUAGCUCGGGAUCAGUGGGCUUCUUUUGUGAACUACCAUGUGAGAGACGAUACUUAGGUAUUUUUCUGACAACUCACAUUGAAAUGCAUAAUAUAUGAUUAUUCGCUACUAAUUUACGUUAAUGCAUCUUGUUGUUAGAAAUGUGUAAAACAAAUGCCGAAAAUCGGAGAAAGCAAACAGUUCCCCACACUGGUGGCUCAAAGCUGAACUCUAGAAGAAGGGCUGAAAUGGUAAAUGAUACGGGGAGAAGGCCCGGACGAGCACAACUCUAUCUUGCUACACACAGAAAAAAAAAAGAUGGAUCAUAUGUAAACGAGGAGGCAAAAUAAAUAUGUGAAAAAAUUCAGCUAGUAGUGAGUCAAAGUACUGUGGAUGAGUCUGAAAUUUCUCCCAAUGAUGCUGUGGGUAAGGUGCUAGGAAAAGAGCAUUCUGGGAGGGUAAGAUGUUUUGGAUUAGGAGCUACUCCAAGCACUCAUUUUAAACAAACAAAACCUCGUGUUGGUGGUAUUAGAAUUCCAAGUAAUGAUGUUGGAUGUUCUUCUUUCGGAUGUCAAGACAAGUACAAUAAAUUGUUGAAUACUCUCAAAGCCUACAUGAUAAUGAAGGAAGGGUCAAUACCGGAACAGUUUGCUGGGAUCUUUGGUUAACCUCCUAGAACGCCGAGUGACGCAAGUAGCAGCUAGGGGAUCCAUGGAUUCAAGAUUUUCUACCUCUAGUGGUCAUGUAAUAUGAGUAGUUGACUAAAGUGGAUUUGUGACGAUUUCAGUUGAUGACAUUUACUUGUCUUAGUAUUUUGUAUGCUUUAAUGGAAUGUUGAUAUUUCUCAAUUUUGAUAUUCUGGUUGUAGUGUUAAAAUAUUUAGAUUUGUAUUAAAAAAAAGUCUGAAA